GACUCUGACGGGACACACACACACACACACACACACACACACACACCAGCACGCACAAGGACAAGAACCACGGCGCCGUUAGCCAAGACGUCCGCACAAACUAACUUUGGUGUACACAAUGACAAAAUAAUCAUGACAAUAAAAAUAAAUGCUCUGGAUAAUUUUGAAAUCAUCACGACAGGAAGUGAUGAUAAAUUAAUAGUAGACGCCUUUGUGCUUAAACCUUUCAAUAAAUUCGUUUGAAUGCGAAAAGUUAGUCAGUUUUGUUUUAUUUAUUUGAGUUGUGGCUGUUAAAAGUAACAGCGAGUUGGCGUUGGGGCUUCAAACUCGACAAUGAGGAGCAAAAACAACUUCAUAAAUCUCAUUUCAGGCCAUUUAAAAAAAAAUCUGAGCUCCACGGGCGUGCACACACGUACACAAUUCUCAGCCAUGCAGGAAAAGUACAACGGAACUUUGAACAAAUUGCUGCCACUGAAUUAUUGGGGCGCGCACAUGCUUUCCGAAAUUCCAGAUCAAUUACAAUCACGCAAAUGAAAAUGUGCAAAAGAAAACGUGGUUGCGGACGCGCUGAAUGUGUGAAUUGCGCACGACAAAUGCUGAAAGAUUGUCGCGGGAGCAGCUGAUCAAAUAUGUACGGAUAAGUUGAAAACGACAAGAGGUCGUGCGUGUCACUUGUUUUGCAGUUUGGCACGAGUGGACACCAAGUGGACCGACCGGGCGGACCAGCGUCGUCUGGUCGUCUCGGAGCACAGCGGUGCUGCGCCGAACAAAACGCCGGGCAAAGAGCGCCCGGUACAGGCUACGAGGAGACUCCACCGGCCGCCUCUGCGCAUGCAUGGAUUUUUUUUCCCUCCUCCAAACCAACUCAUCCACCUGCGCAGUGCACACGGAGGAGAAGCCCCCUGAAACGCACGCCACCUAUCUUCACGGGAGGGGAUAAUUGAGGGGAGCCAAACUGAAACCAACUAUGUCCACGCGGAGUUUGUGUGUGAGUGUAACGCGUGUGAGCGUGUGUGCGCGGGGAGAAACUUGGAAGAUCGUCCACGGCGGCCGCAGUUGCACG